rnacentral:rRNA from 1 species
CUACGGGAGGCAGCAGUGGGGAAUCUUGGACAAUGGGCGAAAGCCUGAUCCAGCGACGCCGCGUGACCGAUGAAGGCCCUCGGGUCGUAAAGGUCUUUCAGCGGGGACAAUAAUGAUGAUACCCGCAGAAGCAGGAGCGGCUAACUACGUGCCAGCAGCCGCGGUAAUACGUAGGCUCCAAGCGUUGUUCGGAAUUACUGGGCGUAAAGCGAGUGUAGGCGGUCUGCCAAGUCGAUUGUGAAAUCUCCCGGCUCAACUGGGAGGGUGCGGUCGAAACUGACAGACUCGAGUUCGGGAGAGGAGAGUGGAAUUCCUGGUGUAGCGGUGAAAUGCGUAGAUAUCAGGAGGAACAUCGGUGGUGAAGACGGCUCUCUGGACCGAUACUGACGCUGAGACUCGAAAGCGUGGGGAGCAAACAGGAUUAGAUACCCUGGUAGUCC